GCCCGGAUGGCGAAACUGGUAGACGCAUCAGACUUAAAAUCUGCCGACCGCAAGGUCAUCCCGGUUCGAUUCCGGGUCCGGGCACCA
rnacentral:tRNA from 3 species